GCACCCGUAGCUCAGAUGGAUAGAGCGUUAGCCUCCGAAGUUAAAGGUCCCGCGUUCGAGUCGCGGCGGGUGUA
rnacentral:tRNA from 1 species